rnacentral:rRNA from 1 species
UUUGGCGUCCGAGUUGUAAUUUGCAGAGGGCGCUUUGGCAUUGGCAGCGGUCCAAGUUCCUUGGAACAGGACGUCACAGAGGGUGAGAAUCCCGUACGUGGUCGCUAGCCUUUACCGUGUAAAGCCCCUUCGACGAGUCGAGUUGUUUGGGAAUGCAGCUCUAAAUGGGAGGUAAAUUUCUUCUAAAGCUAAAUACUGGCCAGAGACCGAUAGCGCACAAGUAGAGUGAUCGAAAGAUGAAAAGCACUUUGGAAAGAGAGUUAAAAAGCACGUGAAAUUGUUGAAAGGGAAGCGCUUGCAGCCAGACUUGCCUGUAGUUGCUCAUCCGGGUUUCUACCCGGUGCACUCUUCUACGGGCAGGCCAGCAUCAGUUUGGGCGGUUGGAUAAAGGUCUCUGUCAUGUACCUCCCUUCGGGGAGAUCUUAUAGGGGAGACGACAUGCAACCAGCCUGGACUGAGGUCCGCGCAUCUGCUAGGAUGCUGGCGUAAUGGCUGUAAGCGGCCCGUCUUGAAACACGGACCAAGGAGUCUAACAUCUAUGCGAGUGUUUGGGUGUCAAGCCCGAGCGCGUAAUGAAAGUGAACGGAGGUGGGAACCUUUCGGGGUGCACCAUCGACCGAUCCUGAUGUCUUCGGAUGGAUUUGAGUAAGAACCAUAGCUGUUGGGACCCGAAAGAUGGUGAACUAUGCUUGAAUAGGGUGAAGCCAGAGGAAACUCUGGUGGAGGCUCGCAGCGGUUCUGACGUGCAAAUCGAUCGUCAA